UCCUCUUAGAAAGGACUUGGACAGCAUAAAGAGGCCACAAAUGUGUUAACUGUGCAUAUAUUUGAAGAUGAAUUUGGCUCUGCCUCAGACAGGAGGCUCAUUUUGUGUGCUAAAACCUCUCCUUCUGCCUUAUCACACCUGAAUUAGAGACGCUCUGGUCUCUGCCUGGCUUACCUUCUCAGCACUGAGAGGCCGGGCGUGGUGGCACUUGGAAGGGAUGAGUGGUUUAGAGCCUGCUUGAGCCACAUGACCAGCCUUCAAGGGAACUUGCAGCCAGCCGCUCCUUAGAUGUCGCUGAUCUGUGACCAAACACAGUCCAGGCCGAUCAAAUUUUUUCCCAGUCCGCUGCCCAUGGGCCACUCCAAGUAGAGAUGAUGUCAUCAAGAGGACAGCCAAGCAGGAGGUGGCAUCUGGUACCCACAUCCAGCCCAACAAGUCAACUCCUGGGAGCAAAGGAGACAAGUGUCUAAUUGACCAUGACAGGUUGGAACCCUUGCCAAGUCCUCUUCAAGAAAGGAGGGAGCCACUUUAAAAUAAAAAUUAAGCUGGCUCUACGAAGCAAGGUAUGCCUGGCAUCAAUGCCCAGGGGAGACCAGCUUGCCAGAGCUUUCUGAAAUCUAGCUUUCACAGGCCCGGACACUGAAAGACAGGAGAGUGUUUAUUCAGUAGAAAGCCAGGAUGACAUAACUGGUCUACAGAAAGUCACUCAAUAUCUACAUUAGAAGUCAAAUUAAAAUGGCCAGAACUGUGUUUUGGCCCCCACCAUUAGCCAAAAUUAACAUUGUAAUGUCAAUUCCCAAUAUGGGCAAGGGCAAGGUACAAGUGUUAUGUUCACACAUAGCUCUUGACGGUGAACGUUUGCACAGUCUCCCAUGGAAAACCAUUUAUCAUGGUGUGUCAAGAACUUCGAAGGGGCUCAUGACCCUCUGCGCAAGGGAAAUAAUCCAAAAUAUGGGGGAAAGAAGUAUCGGUAUGUUGUUCUUUUAAUCUCCAUUCUGACUAGCAUAUGCAGCACUCAGAUUGUAGAUCAUUAGAAAUGUCUAAAUCGCAUGUUACGUAUUGAAAGGAUGACUACUCUUCAUGCAGCAACGUGGAGGUGUCCGUAUGACAAUGUUGUGUGCGUAUGAUAAUGACAGGUGAGUGAACCAAUUUUCACAAGAAAAGGAAGCCCAAGUCGAUGACAGUUGUGGCGGUGUCUGGAUGUAGGGGAAAGGGGGGAUUAUUUUUUCUUUUUCAAAUUUAGCCCGAUGUAUCACAGUAAAAUAUUUCCUGAGACUUGAAUGACUAGAGGAGCUAACAAGGGUGAGACUACUUCUCAGGUGAUUGGGAAGGAUGCUGAUCUUUAGGGACCAGAUUUUGCUUUGGACGGGACAGGGGUGGAGGCUGCAGAAGUGAGGAGAAGCCCUGUGCCCAGCCUUCUCCGGGGUCCCAAGAAGUCAGGGAAAGAGACAGCUAAUCCCAACUGGGAAGAGCUUGGAGACCUACAAGAGGCUCUCUGGGAAACCCUCUGGCUUGAAAUUGAGCAAUCCAUGAAUGAAUCUGGCAUGGGUCCGUGAGGACCCAAGAGGGAUCUGAGAAAGUAAUGAUAUCAACUCCAAGGAGACUCCAAGAUGGCUGAGAAGGAAGCAGGCCCAGGAGCAGGGACAGAGAAGGCUUUGAGGGUUUCCAAUGACACUAGGUGCCUGGAUUCGGAGGCGCUAGAGAAGGGAUGUCAGUCCUCCAGUAGGAGGGAGGUGGAGACGACUUUGGGACUGUAUUCGCGAUUCGGUUCUGACUGCAGAGAGCAGGUUUGAGUAGUCACAGGGACAGACGCAUAGGGUACAUUGUAACUCAGCACUUUGUAUUGGAGCUUCAAAUGGGUAGGUGGCUGAGUAGGUGCAUGGGGCUUGCUGGAAUGCAGUGACACGGUCUCAACUGGGUCCAAACAUGCUGUCCAGUUGGGACUUGCUGCUCCCCACGAGUCACCACAACUAACGCAAAAGCAUCAAGAAUCUCGUUUUCUUACCCCGUACUGAGAAAAUGUAUCAAUCAACCAGAAAGCACCUAAGGACAUGCUGUGUGCCCCUUAAAGGAAGCCUGUAGCAUGCGAAGGAGGGCUGAGGCAGAUUUCUCAUCCCCGCUGCGUUUUCUCUGAUACCCCUAAGAAGGACAAUGCUUCAAAAUCCGGGUAGUUGUACGUGAAAUGGGCGCAAAGAAUCCCUCGUGGCGACAUCGGAGAAGCGUCGAUCUGCCACAUGAGAAACGAAUCCGAAUGUAAAUCAGUGCGGGAAAUUGAACCCAGGACCUAGCACAUGCUAGGCAAGUGCAAGCACUGCUGAGAUCGAACUUCAAAGGUAUCCAGGCACUAGGACCUUCUCUGCAUGGAAGGUUUUCCUAGUGAUGAAAUGUCUCCACAGAUAUGGCCUGGAGUUAGCAAAUAUGCUUCGAUGAGAAGCUGGACACUUUGAAACAAACAGAAGCUUGAUGGUUAUUUCCAGGAGUAAAAGAAAAAAAUUGUUUUGAGACAGAAACGAUGUAGUCCAGGCUGGCCUCAAACUCAUGGUGAUCCUCCUGCCUCAGCCUCCCAAAUGCUGGGAUCAAAGGCAUGCACCACCACGCCUGGCUCUUGGGAGUAAAAUUCUAUAACCUGUCAGAUUUGUUUACCAAAGCCCAAGAGCUGAAUACCAGGAGCAAAGCUGGAAGCCACAGCGGUAAGGGGACAUGGUCCGCACACACUAAGCUGCCACCUCCCGCCUCAGGAGCUGAGGCAACUCUCAGGGUGGUGGGGGUGGGAUGGGGGUGUCAAUGUCAACACUUUCAAGAAUUUAAGACAUUAAAUAAGCAGAAAAUAAAUAUACAAUAUUUCUACAAGUUACAGCAUUAUGAAACAGUAGGACACAUUACACAGAAAAAGAAUCUACAAUAUUUACAAUCCUUGAUUCUGAAAAAGGCUUAGAAAAACAGUGAUUUUUUUACUCAUUUACGCUAUACAAAACUUUACAAGAAAGGUAAAGGAAACACAAUUGCACACAAAAAUUUGGCUCAGUUGGUAAGUAAAAUAUAACCUAAUCUAAUAAAUAGUCAAAAAUAUGUACACUAUUAAGGGGAAACAGAAGAAAAUUGUAUUCUACCACAUACUCUCUUUUAAAUCAAAAGGAACUUUAAAUUGGCUUUGCAACCCCCUCCCCAAUUCUUCAUUAACUUGUUUCUUAGAAGGAAAGCCAAAGAAUUAGCCACAAAGCCAUUUUGUGUUUAUUGCAUUUCGGUGUGAAGUCACAGGACACUUUUUACAAACCUCACAUGGAGAGGUUAACAAGGCACAAAACCCGCAUCACUUUUUUUUUUUUUUUUUUUUAAAGGAUCUACAAAAAAUUUAAAAAAUAAUAAUAAAAAUAAAAGUAAAAGGUAUACCCGCAGCAAGGGGGCACACUUCUGUAGGGACGCAUUCGGAUAAACAGAUACAGUACAGAGACAACCAGUCAUCUCUUAAGUUCUGGCGCCAGCAUCUUGUCCUUUAAUACUUCUGCAAUUCAUAGAGUCGCCUACAUCCUCAAGAGCCACUUCCCCCGCCAGCCUCGGGGCUCUGAGGCCACGGGCAGAGGUAGGUGUGCUCAUGGGCAGAUGAGGCAGGAUGGUCUCCUGUCCGGCCCUGGCUGCACCUCGCUCUCUGGGAGCCCCAGGACUGAAGAAAUGUAAAGUGCUCCAGUCCGAGGGACCGGCACCGAGCAGAGAUCUGGGAAGGGGUGGCCCAGAAAUGUCUUUGGUGUGUGUGUGUUUGUGUCUGUGUGUGUGUGUGUGUGUGUGCGUGUCUGCCUGUCUGUCUACAGGGCCGUGACUGCAACCCGGACACCACCAUACAACUGUGGGCUGUGUGGGACCCUGCAGGCCGGCUCCAGACACGUCAAGAAACAAGCUGAGCUCCAACACAGCUUUCAAAAUAUUUAAAACUCAAAGCGUAUUUUAGGGAAAAAAAUGUUUAAAAAGGAAAAAUAUUUGGAAUCAAAUCACCUCUACCUAAAGGAAAAAGUGUAUAGACAAUAUACAUAUAUACACAUAUAUCUAUAUACACACGUAUAUAAACUUACAAACAUACAAAUGAAUGGAUUUUCCCGCUUUAAUUUAAUGGGAAUACACUGGUCCCCGGUCAGGCAAAAAAUAAAUACCACAGCUGGGCACCGCUGGCAUGUUGGAAAACUCCUAUAUUCCUUUUAAAAAGUUGUUUAACGAUUCGUUUUCCAAAAUCACAGAGUUACAGGGUUCAGACGCCUCCCUCCCCCUUGCUCUGCUCCCUCAUCUGUGUCCCUCUUGGGUCACCCAGUGUCUGCUUGAUUGUCCUUUUCUUUCACUCACUGGCUUUUGAAAUGACUGACAGGGUGUGGGCUGGCCCUGCAUAAUGUCAGCGGAAGGUAGGCAGAGGCACUGGUAGCCUGAUGAGAUCCAACUGUCCUAAAAGGAUGAGACAAGCAAAACGAGAUGCCUCUUUGAGGCUGAAGAGACAUCUCAGACUCCGCCCGGGAUUCUACUGGUGAAAGCAGAAUUAGGUCUGUUUCCAAGUGGGCUCAGAGAGGUGGGACCAAGUAGAGGCAUUACAGCCAGUGCCUUGGGCUGGAUGAAAGCCGGGGUGCCCGGGAAAUGGCCAGCAGACACCUGCCCCGUGGGGUGGGAAUAGGGUCCCCAAGACUGGAUGUGCAGUGAGCCCUGUGACUUCCGGGUGUGCAAAGGGGGCCAGGCUUGGUCUCCUGCUGUCACUGUUCUCACCCCUCCCAACAUCUAAAUGCCAGGUGCAGCCAACACUGAACUCGUCCCCGUCAGUCUGCUGGUGACAGAGGGAUGAGCUGGGAAGGAUGCAGAUGCGUGCUCACUCUGGUUCUGACGCGGGGACUCUUCACGCAAGCACCCUGGAGCAGACCUUUGAGCAGCACCCAGACGGGCUGGGUGGGCAUCACAAACAGGGAUCAGGAAAGACGUGCAAAACCACUGGAAAUUUUGCCACCGAUAAAACUGAAUGCAAGGAGGUAAAUAAAUAUUUACAAGAUGGGAGUGGUACACCCUCAGCCCCUUUAAUCAGCUCCAUUUCAUAAGAACUCUUUUGGUAUUAAUAAUUAGAAAAAAAAAGUUCAAAGAACUUUGGAGGAAGGGAGUGACGUAUCCUACCUCUCUCCCAGGUUAAAAACUCUGUAAUCUAAAAAUACACUAAGUCAGCGUUAUAAAUUAGCUGGCUCAGUUUCCACUGCUAGGAUUACACAAUCCUCUGAGGUUCUUAAAAUUUGAGUACAAAAAUCAUUCACAAGUUGGUUAAAAAGUUUCCACUUCCUUUCUGAAAAACUUGUUAUUAAAGAAGGUGGAAAAAAAAAA